GUGAGGAAUAUUGGACAAUGGAGGAAACUCUGAUCCAGCCAUGCCGCGUGAGUGAUGAAGGCCUUCGGGUUGUAAAGCUCUUUCGGGUGUGAAAAUGAUGAUGGUAACACCAGAAGAAGCCCCGGCUAACUCCGUGCCAGCAGCCGCGGUAAUACGGAGGGGGCGAGCGUUGUUCGGAAUCACUGGGCGUAAAGCGUGCGUAGGCGGUUAUACAAGUCAGGAGUGAAAUCCCAGGGCUCAACCUUGGAAUUGCUUUUGAGACUGUAUGACUAGAGAUCUAGAGAGGUUGGGGGAAUUCCGAGUGUAGAGGUGAAAUUCGCAGAUAUUCGGAGGAACACCAGUGGCGUAGGCGCCCAACUGGCUAGAUACUGACGCUGAGGCACGAAAGCGUGGGGAGCAAACAGGAUUAGAAACCCUAGUAGUCC
rnacentral:rRNA from 1 species